rnacentral:rRNA from 1 species
AGAGUUUGAUCCUGGCUCAGAACGAACGCUGGCGGCGUGCCUAACACAUGCAAGUCCAACGUGAAAGGGGAGCAAUCCCCCGGUAGGGUGGCAAACGGGUGAGUAAUACAUGGGUGAUCUACCUUAGGGAUGGGGAUAUCCUUCCGAAAGGAGGGGCAAUACCGAAUAUUGUCCGGAGCCGUGAAGGGUUCCGGGGAAAGGGAGGCCUCUGAUACAAGCUUUCGCCUUAAGAUGAGCCCAUGGCCCAUCAGCUAGUUGGUAGGGUAAAGGCCUACCAAGGCUACGACGGGUCGCUGGUCUGAGAGGACGACCAGCCACACUGGCACUGAGAUACGGGCCAGACUCCUACGGGAGGCGAC